ensembl:lncRNA
CUUGGGUCUCGUUCCAUCGGCCCCUAAACGAGAUGAAAUUGAAUUAGAUUAUGCUAGAAAAUGAGGUGUUCACGCCAAUUCAAAGUAAUCAAGGUGGUUGCAUCGAAGAAUAAUGAAAGCUGCUAGAUCUAAUCCAGGCCUGCGGAGUGCUUUUUGACUAAUAACGGCAGUUUGUCAAAAGAACUUUUCACAUCCUUCCGACCGGCUGAGGAGAAGCGGAAGGAAACCUCACGCUGGCAUUCGAAUCCCAGCGGUGGCGCAAUCGAUUCAUCUUAAAGACGACGGCAAAAAACAUUGAGUGAGAUAUCACCAAC